GAACGGUAACAGGAAGCAGCUUGCUGCUUCGCUGACGAGUGGCGGACGGGUGAGUAAUGUCUGGGAAGCUGCCUGAUGGAGGGGGAUAACUACUGGAAACGGUAGCUAAUACCGCAUAAUGUCGCAAGACCAAAGAGGGGGACCUUCGGGCCUCUUGCCAUCGGAUGUGCCCAGAUGGGAUUAGCUUGUUGGUGGGGUAACGGCUCACCAAGGCGACGAUCCCUAGCUGGUCUGAGAGGAUGACCAGCCACACUGGAACUGAGACACGGUCCAGACUCCUACGGGAGGCAGCAGUGGGGAAUAUUGCACAAUGGGCGCAAGCCUGAUGCAGCCAUGCCGCGUGUAUGAAGAAGGCCUUCGGGUUGUAAAGUACUUUCAGCGGGGAGGAAGGGAGUAAAGUUAAUACCUUUGCUCAUUGACGUUACCCGCAGAAGAAGCACCGGCUAACUCCGUGCCAGCAGCCGCGGUAAUACGGAGGGUGCAAGCGUUAAUCGGAAUUACUGGGCGUAAAGCGCACGCAGGUGGUUUGUUAAGUCAGAUGUGAAAUCCCCGGGCUCAACCUGGGAACUGCAUCUGAUACUGGCAAGCUUGAGUCUCGUAGAGGGGGGUAGAAUUCCAGGUGUAGCGGUGAAAUGCGUAGAGAUCUGGAGGAAUACCGGUGGCG
rnacentral:rRNA from 1 species